rnacentral:rRNA from 1 species
GAACAUACCACUUGUUGCCUCGGCGGAUCAGCCCGCUCCCGGUAAAACGGGACGGCCCGCCAGAGGACCCCUAAACUCUGUUUCUAUAUGUAACUUCUGAGUAAAACCAUAAAUAAAUCAAAACUUUCAACAACGGAUCUCUUGGUUCUGGCAUCGAUGAAGAACGCAGCAAAAUGCGAUAAGUAAUGUGAAUUGCAGAAUUCAGUGAAUCAUCGAAUCUUUGAACGCACAUUGCGCCCGCCAGUAUUCUGGCGGGCAUGCCUGUUCGAGCGUCAUUUCAACCCUCAAGCCCUCGGGUUUGGUGUUGGGGAUCGGCGAGCCCUUUGCGGCAAGCCGGCCCCGAAAUCUAGUGGCGGUCUCGCUGCAGCUUCCAUUGCGUAGUAGUAAAACCCUCGCAACUGGUACGCGGCGCGGCCAAGCCGUUAAACCCCCAACUUCUGAAUGUUGACCUCGGAUCAGGUAGGAAUACCCGCUGAACUUAAGCAUAUCAA